rnacentral:lncRNA from 1 species
AGAAAUAUGAAGUUCGAAUUUGGACUGUUGAUCUUAAUGAAAGUUGUAGUUCGUCUCGAUACGAGUUCGUAGGUGCAAACGGUUCGCAAAUCCGAGUUCGGACGAGGAAGAUAUGGCCGAAACAAGAAAGUCGCGCGCAGCAGUGAAUAGUGCCCGACGGGAAUUUUCGAAUUUUCGGGAUUUUGCGGGAUUUUCGGAUUUUAUCAGUAUUUUCGAGCUCUGUACUGUAUUUAUCUCAUGUGCCUAUAUAUAGGUCCUUU